CACUAAGAAGCUAAUAGGAUAUAGCAUUAGCCUUUUAAGCUAAACACAGGUGACUGCCGACCACCCUUAGUGA
rnacentral:tRNA from 1 species